rnacentral:lncRNA from 1 species
CUUGCUCUUCAUUCUUAUCUUCCCAGUUGAGAUUCUCAAUGUUUCUAUAUAUAUACUCUCACUUGGCAUUUCCUUGGUUGUAUCUCCCUCUUCAUUCCAGUGUAGAUAGGCAAGGUUUCUUUCAAUCUUGAGAGAAAUAACCUAGGUAAUUCAAUUUUAUUGAUGAUAUAUAUAUAUAUGGCUUCCUUCAGAUCUGUAGUAGUGAUCAUGGUAGUAUUUGAUCUUUUCAUUUUGUACAAAGAGAUCACUUUGCAAGUUUGAUUUGUUUAGAAGUAAUUAGUUUUGGUCUAUUUUCUUGUUGCAGGUUCUUUGCAAUUACAUUUGUUGAUGGGAAUAGGUGGUAUCGGAAAUGAGGUAUAUUUAUUAUCAUUUGGUUUAAGUUAAUUAUCUAGGUUUUCAAACGCGAUUCUUCAAUUUUUUGUUAUCUAGGUUUAAACACUGCAUCUAAGCUUUAUUGAUUAGAAAUUUGAAUCCACCACUCAAUUCAAUUGACUGGAAAUGUGGUUGAUCUAUAACAUUAUGGAAAACAAUAAUUUUGGGAGGAAUCAUCUGAUCCUGUACAUGUUCAUCUUAUUAGUCUAGGAGCAAAUUAAUGGUGAGCGUAUGUAGGCGCGCUUUUUAAAAUUGCCACAAUUUUAAAUCUAAGGAUCAAAUGAUACCCCUUGGCAUUUGAAAGUCCAUUAAUCAUAUAUAGAUCUGAAUGGAACCCAGAAACUCAUUUGAAAGUACUCCAAAUUAAAUAUGACAAUCAUUUUAUGAUCUACAUUAGAUCCCAUUGUAGAUCGGAAAGGAAGUUAAUCCAACAUUAGUUUGAACUUUGAAGUACUUUGUAGUGGUAUUUCCUUUAAGGUUUAAUUUUGAAAAUAUGGUACUAAGCUUUGUCGAUUAGUGAGAUUGGAUUAUAGUAAGCAAAUGAUGUAGUAAACAUUCAGUAUAUAUGUUUAUUAUCAUAUAAUAUACCUAGUUAUACCAUAUAUAGAAAUUCACUCUGGGACAAAGUUUUAUAGAAACCAUAUUCCACAUGUGGAAUUAUUCCAACAUUAGUAUUUUGAUUUGUGCUUCUUGCACAGUUUAUGGAUAACGGCGUCCAAUAUUGGAUACACAUGCAUAAAAACGCUAUGCAAGUAUUUGUUGCAUCGAGUUAUCAACCAAACUGGAUUACAUACAAUAUUUCCAAGUACGUUAUAAUUUUGUGUUAUUAUGUUCAACCAACUCAAUUAUAUGACUUAGAUAAAUGCAACUCAUUGCAACACAACUUGAAGUAACAGACCUUAAUUAAUUGGAUAUUCUGGUCCUGUAUCAUGGAAAGAACACCAACUAUUUAGCACAACUGAUUUUUUAGAUAAAAGUAAAGUUAUUCUUCAAAAACUCUUCUUCUGUACUUGGGCAAGAAAAAUACUUGAACUUAGACCUCAUAUAAUUCAUGCAUUUAUGACCCGCCCUAAGAACAACUAUGGUUGUUGUGGGUGGAGACAAAGAAUUGAAGCACUUUCUAUAAAAAAAAAAUUGUAUAAAUUUUGAAAUCUAUUGUACAUUGUACGUUUCCUAUGUCUCAAUUACAUUGCACUGGCGAUACUGCAAACAAGAUGGAGAAAUCUUAGGCGAUAUUAGGAUUACAUAAAAAAGGAAUACCUUAUGGUUUGAUUGAUUUUCUCACUUCAAUUCUCUUCAACCGUUAAAAAAUGUUGUCUUCAACCCCUCUUUGCAGUCGAAUCAUCAAUCGAUCUCUCAUCUGAGAGUUACUCAACUGAAGCCGUUGUCGUUGAUUCAAUUUUGAACAAAUUUGCAAUCAUUUUGAAGGUAAAGAUUACUUGAUUUUAUUUUCAAUUAUUUGUUUUAGUUAGUUUCGAUAAUUUACGCAGUUAUUUUAUCAUUUCCAGCUUAAUUGUAUUGUUUUUUCUUUUGAAUUUGGUUCCGAUUUGAUUUUUGUCGAUUUAACUGAGGUAAAACUGAGUUGAUUCUAUCUAAUUGUCUUUUGAUUCAUUCAUAGUUGUUAGAUUCUUUGAUUUUGGUGAAUUUUAUUAUUCAGUUCUAGCUCAAUUUUAAUUUUUUAAUUAUUUUUUCCUUGGAUUGUUUUUUAUUUUAUGUUGAUUUUGCUGCUUAGCUUUGUUUUGCUCUUAGAUCUGAUUUAUAUAAAUACGACAAAACGGUUAUCGAUGAAUUUUGAUUAUUUUUCUGUUCGAUUCAUCGGCCGCCUUUCAAUGUUUGAAUAAUUAGAGUUUAGUGGUACAAAGUUCUGUAAUUAUUAUUAGUCCAAUAAACACUUGUACAAUUGGAACCCGUUAAAGUUAAUCGCACCAAAUAAUCUUGGUUUUAUCGAAUUUAGGCGUGGUAAAAGUGUGUUUUCUAUUUAGAUUUUACUGAAGUACUUAUUAUUUAUGACCAAACCCUAAUUAAUCUGAGAUCAUUUGUUGUGUUACCAAUGUGAUACCAUUUAUGGAAAACAGAUUUAGCUGAAAUUAGUAAUGUUUUAUCACAUAAUUUGCAUUUUUUAGGAAAUUGGAAAUUUGAUUAUGUUUAAAUGUUUUUAUAAAAAAUUUCAGCAAAAUAUUAUUAUAAUUAAGUUACCUUAAGUGAUUAUCUUGAUUAAGCUGAAAUGUCUGAUAGCUAGUUCGAUCAGUUUAGUCUGGGUCUCUAACACUAAUAGCAGUUUGCUAAUUACUUAUGAUCUAAGAUACGUUGCUCUCAUUCCUCAUGAUUAUACUUCGAAUUUUUCUUAAUUGCAUUGUCAAGUUGAUUUAAUUAAAAACUAUAGAAAACAUUUAUUUCUGAUCCCAAUUACAAUUUUGAUUAUUAAUCAUGUUCAUCCUUACCUUAUUGAUUUAUAUAGAACACACAUUUAAUCUUAUGUGUUGGACUUUUGCAGUAAAUAUUGCGGAGGAAGAUAGUCGUGACUCUCUUGUUUUACAUUUGAGUAGGUCUGUCACUGGAUUUGAAUAUGGAAGUUGUCGUCCAAACCUUGAACAAAAUGAAGCUGAUGUUUAAUGUCUUCGUAUAUUGGAUUUGGAGAGAAAGAAAUCACGGGAUCUUCAAGAACCAAAGUAUGCUAGCAACACAGUUGGCUAUACUAAGCAUUAAUUAGAGAUGUGAGAAUCAAGUUGAAUUCAAUCGAAUAUACCAUGUAACUAGGACAAGAGAGAAACAAGAAUGGAGUUAUGGCACAUUCAGAUUUACCAUUGCAGAAUGGAGUUGGGGGAUGGGAAGCUGCUCUUAUAGACCAUGAGGGAACAGUUGUUGCUUUUAUGGGAAGAAUUACAUACAACACAAUUGCGGCCAUUGAACUUCAAGGGUUAGAACAUGGGCUGAAGUUGGCAGUAAGGAACAACACUGGCAAGUUAAGGGCACAAACAGAUUCUAUGAAUGUGGUGUC